CAGAGACUCAGGGGCAAAGCUUCAGGACUCAGAAACUCAGGGGUAAAGCCGAAGCAGUUAGACACACAGGGGACAAAGCUUCAGGAGGCGGAGACUCAGGGGUGAAGCUGAAGGAUGUAGAGGCUCAGGGAGCAAAGGAAUACUUCAAAAAGUAUGAAGAAUGGACACCACAAUUUUGAUCCCGUAGUUUUCCUCCACGAUGAAUGCCCUCCUCUGAAGGGACUUUCUUUCUAAGCAAAGCAUUUGAGAAUGCCUGAUGUUAGCCACGUAUGUUCCAUAGAGGCGUGAAUCACACGGUGUCGUCAGAUAUGGCUGUAGAUUUGUGUACACCCUCCACAACACUGUGUCAUCUGCUUGUUCUGACGCCACCUCGUAAAAUUGUUCAGGGCCUAACACAAAGGCAUUGUUUGGGCACUUGAAUGACAUCAAGUUUUCCUUGAUUUCUAUCUUGGACUUGGAUGUUUCCUCAAGACGAUUUGCAACUUGUGCCAAAACAUUUUUUCCAGAUCGUACCAUUUUUUUCAUUUGAUGAAGAUAGCUCUCGAACUUGAAAGCACUGCAGCUGUCAAGGCUGCCAAAGUUUUGGGCAUCUUCUGCAAGGUGCAGCAAGGAAUGGACAUUGUAUACCAAAAAUGUCUCUCCAUACAGCUCCCGUCCUCUCUCUAAAAUACUUCAGCAGCUGGUUUGCAUAGGGUCCUUGUGACUUUGUGAGAUCAGGAUUCACCAAAAUGCAAAGAGCUGUGCUGAAGCUCAAGAAGUGUUCAUAGAGCUGCUCUUGGAGAAUUCCCUUUAGAACAAUCUUCCCUGUGUAGAUAGCAAACUGUCUGAACUCUGUUGCUUUCCAGCGAUCUAUUUCCUGCAAGCUCCCUGGCUUCCUGGCAAAGCAAUCUGGAAUGGACUUCUUUAGUGUCUCCAGCCUGCCACUUACAUGGGUCACAUCUCCUGAUAACAUCCGGAAAUCUGUUCUCCCUCUUGUCCACAAGAGCAGCAGCUUUUUCAUUACCCCGAGACAGCUCUGGUGCAUAUAAUCUAUGGGGAAUGAUUUGAUCAUGACGAUCAGGUGGACAGAGAAGGAGGUCUGUGCACGCCACUGCAUCCAGAUGCUGAAAC